rnacentral:rRNA from 1 species
UAGGGAAUCUUCGGCAAUGGGGGCAACCCUGACCGAGCAACGCCGCGUGAGUGAAGAAGGUGUUCGGAUCGUAAAGCUCUGUUGUAAGAGAAGAACGUGUGUGAGAGUGGAAAGUUCACACAGUGACGGUAACUUACCAGAAAGGGACGGCUAACUACGUGCCAGCAGCCGCGGUAAUACGUAGGUCCCGAGCGUUGUCCGGAUUUAUUGGGCGUAAAGCGAGCGCAGGCGGUUUAAUAAGUCUGAAGUUAAAGGCAGUGGCUUAACCAUUGUUCGCUUUGGAAACUGUUAAACUUGAGUGCAGAAGGGGAGAGUGGAAUUCCAUGUGUAGCGGUGAAAUGCGUAGAUAUAUGGAGGAACACCGGUGGCGAAAGCGGCUCUCUGGUCUGUAACUGACGCUGAGGCUCGAAAGCGUGGGGAGCAAACAGG